rnacentral:tRNA from 1 species
UCUCUGGUGGUCUAGUGGUUAGGACUCAGCGCUUUCACCUCUCUGCGACCUGGGUUCGAUCCCUGGUCUGGGAA